GAUGAAGAACGUAGCGAAAUGCGAUAAGUAAUGUGAAUUGCAGAAUUCAGUGAAUCAUCGAAUCUUUGAACGCACAUUGCGCCCGCCAGUAUUCUGGCGGGCAAGCCUGUUCGAGCGUCAUUACAACCCUCAGGCCCCCGGGCCUGGCGUUGGGGAUCGGCGGAAGCCCCCUGCGGGCACAACGCCGUCCCCCAAAUACAGUGGCGGUCCCGCCGCAGCUUCCAUUGCGUAGUAGCUAACACCUCGCAACUGGAGAGCGGCGCGGCCACGCCGUAAAACACCCAACUUCUGAAUGUUGACCUCGAAUCAGGUAGGAAUACCCGCUGAACUUAAGCAUAUCAAUAAGCGGAGGA
rnacentral:misc_RNA from 1 species